CAUCACUGAAGACCUGACAUCGGAGGAAAUCGGACGUCCGCCCUUCUCUCCCUGCAACUGAUUGACCAGGUGUUCAUCUUAAACAAACUUUAUCUCCUGACGAUGAGGCUGACCAAGCACUCCUGUCGGCGGAGGACGACAGCCGCUUUUGCCGCUGGAAGAGACUUUUUGUGUCCAAACGGGGGAAAGGCAGGCUCUGAAACAAUAACACCCCGAAGUUAUUGUAAUAAAUUGCCAUGAAAUGAGGUGACACAAGAGGAAGAAGCUGAAGAGAAUUGACAGUGUUGGCCUUCACCCAAAAGGCGAGAAGAGGAGGCAGAAGACCCCCUGACUCAAGCGGUGAGCUACGAGGAGAAAUAGACGAGGUCCAGACAUGAAGGAGGCACGCAAGGAUACACACAAACCCAGUGCAAUGGCACCUAGAGGCUGUCUGCGGUCUACCACCCCUCUUCUGCACACGCACACACACACCCACGCACUUGCAUACAAAGACUGUUACAGUAAGGAAUAACAGACCACAGAGUCACGAUGAUAAUCGUAGUUGGAAUUUACGAAAACACAUUCAUUAUCUUUUGCUGCUUUCUUCUUUUACUUCAAAGCCAAAUUCCAGUAAUGAAAUGUGAAACUUAUCACAAAACAUUUAUAGAAAAUUAUUGAGAAGACAAACUAGAAUAGCGUCGACUUAAAACCAAUUUUCUCCUUCAAAGUCUAGAUGUUUUAAACUAUAUAUUUUUGAGUGUACUUACGUCAGGGAAAUCUAAAUCUGUUUUUAUACCCCUUUUUUUCCGUCCAUUGAGUCUAUCCAUUCAAGUUUAACCUCCCCACCGCACAUCCCACAACACCUCCGUAACCAACCCGCAUAACCCACCCAGCGCCCCUCCCAGGCUUCCCAGCAUCCUGCCGAGCACACCCUCCAAAAUAAAUCCUUCAAGACGAAAUUACAGUGCGGCUCUGUGGGAAACCCCUCCCUCUUUUGUAUCUCUGCCCCCCCGACGUCCUUUCCUUAGUUUCCUUGUUAGGCUUCACUUGAUUCAGAGUGCAGAUAAUUUUUAAAUUAGUCAGUACUAUGGCGACCCACACUGAUUUCAAUCUGUAGUUACGGUUAUCAGGUAUGACUGUAGCCUCUACAGAAUCCACCUUUUUUGUGUCUGAUUUUAUAUGAAUGGAAAGAGAGGCUAAUAAUUAGUUUGUUUUAAUUUCUAAAAGGGGUAUUUUUUUUCUUUAAUUUUUAAUGAACUACUAAUUAGCAUACUAAUUAAGUUUCUUUGAUUGUCCUCUUUAAAUGUAUCUUCCUGUUACCACUUUGAGCCACUUGGAACACACUGAAGAGGCUACAACUCCUCAGGAGUUUUGUGGGACAAAAAAAUAAAUGUGCAUAUUUUAGUUUUGCCUUCAGAUUUUUAAAUGUGUUCUUCAGUGACCACAGUAUCUAGAAAUAAAUGUGGCUGUCAAGAGUUAAGAUCACCAGAGCUGCCAAAUUUGAGCUAAUUAUACAGAUUUGGAAGUUUAACUGAAUUCAAAAAUAGUCAAAUGUGAGCUAUUUAGUUGAGAAAGCAGCGUUGGUCAUUUCCAGCGUUUGGGUUAACUGACGAAGCCAACCUCACAGCGGCCGUGUCACAGUAAAGCUUUAAUAAUACACUCCAUCAGUUCAGCUUUUUGCCUGCGCGAGGCCAGCUUGGUUAACAGUCGGUCGAGGGUGUGUGCGUGUGUCGGUGUGUGUAUUUGUGUGUGCGGCGACUAUUAAAGCACUUGAGAAUCAGAGAGGAAAGAACUCACGCUGCUAAUGGAUGUGUCUAUUGAUGUUCCCAUUUGGCGGCACACUGUAAACGAUAGGGCAAUGAUUGUACUGAAGAUGGAAGGUGGUGGUGGUGGAGUGGAGAGGAGAGCAGUUUGGCUUGGCGAUGAUAAUGACAAGGAAGGUUAUUAUUGAGCGCCCCAUGGAGUCUCUCUCUUUUUUUGCCUUUGUGUGUGUGUAUUUGAGAGAGAGAGAGAGAAAGAGGAAGAGGAGUGGUACCCAAACUCCAUGUCUCUCAGUGAUGUUGCCUUCCCAGUCCAUUGGCUAUUAUUAACUUCUCGCUUUUUCUCUCCCACCCUACACCUCUCCUGACAUUACUUACUGUUUCUGCUCUUCAUCCAAUCAUGGCUGUCUAUUUACCAUAAACACCUCGGUUUCUUUUUCUAAAUAGUCCAUAUUUUUUAAUCUACAGUGCAUAUCAUAACAAUGAAUAAAAUAGUCUAAAAGGUAGAAGUAAAAGACAAUACUGUGAGCAAAGAAGACAAUUGCAUUCUCACCACACCUCGGGCCAGUAUGCGGUCAGGAUAGGGUAAACUUGUUCAUUGCAAAACUAAACCAUAUAGCAUCAUAAGACUGCUUUAAUUUGAGUAAAGUAACAGCUUCCCCCACUGACAUAAAUAAACGUAUUCCUCAUUAUGAAUGUAACAGUAAUAGUUCAUAUUCCAUUUACUAAUAACUAUUUUGAUAUUCAUAAAUAUACACAUUAAGUACAUCUAUCUAAAAUAAAAAAAUGUUAGCUAAAUUUUGGGGUAGACUAAAAAGCUGGCUCGGUAGCCAAACUACUGUCGUUUGCUUAUCAGUCAUGUUCCUAAUAACUUGACAACAUUACAGUGAAAAUAGUGUUACCUUUAUAAAAUGGCAAGCUGGUGUGAAAUAUUUUCAGCCAAAUCUGUCUCUUUGUAAAAUAUAGUAGCUUUCUUUCAGCCAGCUGACAGUCGACAAAGGGUGAGGGGCAGCGAGGUAUUACGCAAUCCAUAAAAAAAAUACUUUAAACUUGUUUAAACUCAUAACUUGUUUUUCAACCUUUGUACCUUGCCUAUUCUAACCACUGAAUCUCUCUCUAGUAGAUUUUUGUUUUGUUUUUCACCCAACUGUGUGCGUGUAAGAAUGCGUGCAUGUGUGCUUGUGUGUGUGUUUGUCCUGUCAGUUCCAAUCAGUGUGUACGUGUGAUGAAUAUGGAUAGUCAACCUCCCUCCAGGUUUGGCAGGAGACCACCUCCAGCUGGACUCAGACCCCUGCUCAAGUGUCUUGGUGUGUGUUUUGUGAGUGCGGUUGUACAAGUCAGUUUGUAUCUGUCAGCGCGGUGACAACCUCAGGGGGAAAUGACAAACUCUGCAUGCAAAUCACAGAAAAUGAAUGCUUCAAGCUCAUUUUAAAAUGUUUAUUUUUUUAGAUUUUUGUCAUAAAGUGCGUAGAUAAAUUCUGAGAUCUGACAAAAUUGUUACAUAUUUGCAAGUUUCACGUCUAUCUUUCAUUCAGUCAUCCUAUGUUUCUUUUUUUAGGCACUUUAAUUAGUUCACUUCUUCCAUAUGAGCUUUUAGUCCUUCUUUAUUUGUAGGAGAUUCAAAUAAUUUCCAAAAAUAUCUUGUCCUUGCAGAAGGAAUCCAUCUAUCAUUGUGUGUGCGUGUGUGUCUAUAAUUGCAGUGCAGCAGAUAAAGGAGACGCCAUUCCAGCUGUGAGGAGACAGAAGGCGGCGUGUACACACGGUCACAAUGAACACUGCACACAUUGACGCACUUGCACAUACACACAGCAGGUGGGCGUUGAGCGCAAGCAGGUGAGCAUUAAGUCAGGGUGCUAAACAGAUCACGUCGCGGUGUGAUAUCUGCAGACAGGCAGACAGAGGAGGCCGGUCUGUACCUGCAGGCUGAGCGCGGCGACUCGCAGCACCCUCACCAGGAAUUUCUUCCAACUCCUGGGAGGAGAGCGGGUUGAAGGUGAAAGACGGGUGCAAACUGCGGCUUCCGCUAUUUUUCUUCAAAGCUACGUCUUGUUAACCGUAUUUAGUCUGAAAUUGCUGUAGUUAACAUUUUUUAACCGUUUGCAUUCAUCUCAAUGUGUAGGUUUUGUAGAAAAAUUAUAUUUUUAAAGAUUGAAAACAACCUACAGUAUGUCUUAAAUCUAAUUGCACUUUUAAAAAUAGUUUUACAUUUUCUCUUUAAUUAAGUUAUUUGUGAAAAUAUUUGUUUUUCACCUUUAAUGUUUCUAUUUUAACAUAGAAUCCUUGCCUGUUUCAUGUUAUUUUUAAACAUUAUGCAUAUUUUCCCUCCAGGCAAAAUCUCACACUUGCAAGCCUAAAAUUAGCCUGCGUGAUGAAACGACGCAGAGAAAUCAGAUUGACAGCGGUGGAGAAAAAUAGGUGCAAAAUCUCUGCAGACGCUCCAUGUUUUGGUCGAACACAUUUCUGUCCCUACGUUCUGUAAAACUAAAAUAAUGAAGGGACAAAAACAUAAAUAAAACAGUGAGUUCACAAGCUUGUCAAAAGGAGCUGAAUUUUCGGAGCGUUUAAUCACCUCCUGUAUGAUUUGUCUGUCUGGAAUUACGAGUCUGUUCUGACGGGGUCCAUGGUGCUAAUUGUGAAACGCUGACAGUGCUCGUUACGGAUUUCCUGGAGCAUUGUCAGGGCUCCCUUUUGUUAGUUUCUUUCCCCUUUUUAUCUUUGCACCCAGUCUGCUGAGGAAACAUGGCCAUUAUCAGUGCCAAUAUGUAUCGCUUACUUCGCUACUCGACGCUAAGAAAAAUCCUCUGUAGUUUUGUUCUGAUUUCAUCGCCGCUCAGAGGCGCUGAAUCUACUGCAUGGAGGAUUAUUGACAAAGAAAUUUGGUCACAGCCUCAUCUAGUCACCUUGUUUUAAAAUUGCCCAAACUUUCUGAAUCCUUCUCUCUCCUUAUUCUUCCGGGGUGUAAAAUUCAGAUUUUUUGAAGUAAGGUUCUGUUAAGAGGCUAUAAGCAGUUGCAGCUGGAAAUAACUCGCAUGGUGUCUUCAUUCUGUAUAAUUUCAGAUUGCUUGGCCCCGAGUGCUUAAACUAACAACUAUCCAAGAAGGGCCAAGACGAAAGUGGACUUCUAGGUCUUUAUAGAAACCCCAAUCUCAUAGUGUUUAGUGCAAACCCUAUUUUAUAUACCUUUGAGCUCUUUGGACUUAGUGGUUAUUUUACAGCAGCUGACAAUGAUUUCCACAGGAAAUGAAAGGGUAACACCAAUGAAUUUCCUGUGCGAAACUCAUAUUGAGAAUAGAAGCUUGUCCAUUCUGAGUACCUCUCUGAUAUAAAGGGAAGGAGUGUAAAACACACAAAUAUUAAAGCAGUUUAUAAUUGUUAUGUAUAUUUUUUAUUGAUUUUACCACUGGUUCACUUCUCUGUUACAUAUGUAAUUGGAAAUACUUACAUGCUCCAUGUUCACGUUACACAGAGGAAGCCUGUUUUAACUGCUAUAAAUAAGCAUUAGCCUUACUGACCAAUAUAUAUGUAAUUACAGUGUAGAGGUUCAUAAAAUGAUAAAUUAAUAGUCAAUGAAGAUGAAAAGAGCAUAAUAUACUUCUGAUAUAUUUACUGCUUUAUAACUUGUACAGAACUUUGCUUCAACAAUCCUAAACUUUUUCAGGAAGAUCAUUUUUAUUGUGUUUCAAAGCGCCCUAUAUUUAGCCAAAGUCUCAGCUCCCCCCAGCCCAUCCACUUAUCUAAAAAUGAUUCAGUGGUUAAAUGUCAGAGCUGUCCGUACCAUUAAGGCCAGCGUGUUUGAAGGAAGGACACCCUCCCCGCCUUCUUCCUCUGUCUCUUUAAAUCCCCUUCUCCCCCUGUUAGCUCCCACAUCAUCCAGCACCCCCUCACCAUCACUACAACCCAGGCUGGUUAGAGGGCUGAUGUGCAGGCCUUGUCAUUCAGAUUAAGGCCACAUUGUCAGCUCAGGGCUCUUCUCUCUUUAGUUUCGUGUCCCGUUUCUUUCUUCCCACUGUCAGCCAUGCCGUCCCGCGGCCAGAAAAGACCUUAUAAAGCUACACUCUCUCUCAUCCACUUCUGUCAAUUCAAACACUGUCACUCACACCACCAUUGGGGGUUUGUCGCAGCAAGGACUAUUUGUUUAUAUAUAAUGUUGGCCAUGUUUUUCUAUGUAGAUAUACGUUUCAUCAGCUAACAGAGUCGUAGUCUUGAUUUUUUUGGGGGGGGAAUGGAGAGGGUUUACUUUGAAGUGAAGAGAUCUUCGUCAGAUACAAAUAAAAUGACAGCAGUGGCAUGAGAUGUGAGGGUAAAAAGAGGCAGCAUACUCUUCUCCACAAGUGUUAGUACUCUUUUUAAUAAAGACAGCAAAAACUCUUUUUUAGAUCAAAGUUGUAUUAGUGCAGGCGUAUUUAGAGAGGGAUUGGCAGGUGGUGACACAUUCAACCAUUUUGCCUUAGUCACUCCUUAUCCUGCUCUGUUAAAGCAUCCCAGAAUAUUUAUCACCCAAACGAAUCUUGACUCACCAGCGUAGUUGCCGUCACGUCCUGUCUAAUUACUACAGCAGCUCUGUGGCAUUUGCGUUUUAUGCUUCUUACUGUCUGUGCAUUUUCUUUCCUUCCCAAGACGAGCAAUGAUUCAGCACUGUCUAAGAUGGUGGACAGUUUCUCUCUUGGUAUUAGUGCAGAGAGAGGAAACAAAUACAAGGCACAUUUGAGCCUUUCAGUCCUCAGACUCAGGGGACCACAUCAUAACGAAACAUCAAGCGUUACUGAUCGGGGUGAGUCUGCAGUUUCAUACCGGUUCUCUCCCUCAUCCUCAAACUUGCGCUGAAGCCUUUGAGGCAUGUCGAUGCUCCUCUAGAGGCCGAGCAGCUGUUUUUUCUUUGCUUCAAAACAGCAAAGACAGAAAAAAAGACAGCCAACAGCAGCUCCUGCCCAGGUGCUCUGUUAACCAAGAACUACUAUGAGUCAGGAGUUUCAAGAUGACUUUCUUUGUGUAACUGCUACUUUCAGCAAAGUAAGACGUGUUCCCAUGCACUCACUGUCUGUGUAGUUUUGACCGUAUAUCAUGGAAGUUGAAUAACACUCGCAUCACUGGUUGGUUUCUAAGACUUGAAGAAAAGGUGAGUCAAAGUUGUUUCUUUUUUUAUGGGCUGCGGUGGAAGAAACUACUGGGGGAGGAAAAAUCUUCGCAAAGUCGCACACUUGUUUUUUUGUUACAUUUGGUUUUUUUUUUAUUAUUUAAAGAAAUGUUUUUGACAUUGAAAUCAAAAUUACCACAAUGUAAUACAUUAUUGUCAUGUAACUGGGAACAGCUCCACUAAUAAAGUUAUUUUAUUGAUACCCUUGGCAGAUUUAGGGUUGAAGUAAUUUUA